rnacentral:rRNA from 1 species
GUAGGUGGCAAGCGUUGUCCGGAAUUAUUGGGCGUAAAGCGCGCGCAGGUGGUUCUUUAAGUCUGAUGUGAAAGCCCCCGGCUCAACCGGGGAGGGUCAUUGGAAACUGAGGAACUUGAGUGCAGGAGAGGAAAGUGGAAUUCCACGUGUAGCGGUGAAAUGCGUAGAUAUGUGGAGGAACACCAGUGGCGAAGGCGACUUUCUGGCCUGUAACUGACACUGAGGCGCGAAAGCGUGGGGAGCAAACAGGGAUUAGAUACCCUGGUAGUCCACGCCGUAAACGAUGAGUGCUAAGUGUUGGGGGGGUUUCCCGCCCCUCAGUGCUGCAGCUAACGCAUUAAGCACUCCGCCUGGGGAGUACGGUCGCAAGACUG